rnacentral:snRNA from 1 species
AUUGCUUCUCAGCCUUUUGGCUAAGAUCAGAUGUGCUAUCUGGUCUUAUUAGUUUAAUAUCUGAUAUGUCCUCUAUCUGAGGACAAUAUAUUAAAUGUAGUUUGGGAGCACAAACAAAGCAACCUUAUAGGAGUACUAUAACGGAGAUAAACUCUC